CACAUACCAAUAAGAAAAUGAAUAGGCAUUUGCAAGUGAGGUAUAAAUCAGUUAAAAGCCUAUUGAAUAAGAAUAUUGUAUCUUUGGAAUUUGUAAAGUCUGAGAAAAAAAAUAUAGCUGAUCAGCUAACCAAAGCUCUUUCUAAGAGAGCUGUCAUUGACUUGUCGAGGGGGAUGGGCUUAAGCCCAUAAGGGAGUCACCUAGGGAGGUAACCCAACCUUUGUGAUUGGAGAUCCCAUAAAGAAGGUUCAAUGGGUAGAAACAAUCCGUAUUGCGUGACUCAUUUCAGCACUACUUUUAAGGAGAGAGUCUCCUGCUCAUCCCUAUGGCAAUAGUGCUUUGAUAUGUGAUGUUAAGGAAGGGUGUUACCCUGAAUGAGCCCGAGGCAGGCAUACUCCUGCAGGAUACAGGUCACAUGUAUUCUUGGAGGACUCACCUAAAUGAGAGUUGUCGUGAGGCCGCGACUGUGAGAAUUGGGCUGUUCUCUAAUAACUCUCAUGAGAAUCAAGAUUGAGCGCAUGGCCAUAAAUAGCGCUAACCCGCACCAAGUCUAUAUCAAUACUAUGUGUGUGACAUGUUAAAAUCUGGUCCAAAGGGUCUAGUUCAAGACUUAGUUCACUAUGAUCCUUCAGGUUAGAACUGUCAACACUAAGUGU
rnacentral:lncRNA from 1 species